rnacentral:pre_miRNA from 1 species
AGCAUUUCGAAUCGGUGCUGAGAUUUCGUCAAACAUCAACCCAUUAGGGGUGAUCAGACUUCCAAGACAAGUGAAGUU